GAAGCGCAACCCUUGUCCUUAGUUACCAGCACGUUAUGUGGGCACUCUAAGGAGACUGCCGGUGGACAAACCGGAGGAAGGUGGGGGAUGACGUCAAGUCAUCAUGGCCCUUACGGCCUGGGCUACACACGUGCUACAAUGGUCGGUCAAAGGGUUGCCAAGCCGCGAGGUGGAGCUAAUCCCAUAAAACCGAAUCGUAGUCCGGAUCGCAGUCUGCAACUCGACUGCGUGAAGUCGGAAUCGCUAGUAAUCGUGAAUCAGAAUGUCACGGUGAAUACGUUCCCGGGCCUU
rnacentral:rRNA from 1 species